rnacentral:rRNA from 1 species
UUGAACGCUUGCGGCAGGCCUAACACCUGCCAGUCGAGCGGAUGACGGGAGCUUGCUCCUUGAUUCAGCGGCGGACGGGUGAGUAAUGCCUAGGAAUCUGCCUGGUAGUGGGGGACAACGUUUCGAAAGGAACGCUAAUACCGCAUACGUCCUACGGGAGAAAGCAGGGGACCUUCGGGCCUUGCGCUAUCAGAUGAGCCUAGGUCGGAUUAGCUUGUUGGUGAGGUAAUGGCUCACCAAGGCGACGAUCCGUAACUGGUCUGAGAGGAUGAUCAGUCACACUGGAACUGAGACACGGUCCAGACUCCUACGGGAGGCAGCAGUGGGGAAUAUUGGACAAUGGGCGAAAGCCUGAUCCAGCCAUGCCGCGUGUGUGAAGAAGGUCUUCGGAUUGUAAAGCACUUUAAGUUGGGAGGAAGGGUUGUAGAUUAAUACGCUGCAAUUUUGACGUUACCGACAGAAUAAGCACCGGCUAACUCUGUG